rnacentral:rRNA from 1 species
UACGGAGGGUGCAAGCGUUGUUCGGAAUUAUUGGGCGUAAAGAGCAUGUAGGCGGACUGUUAAGUCUGGUGUGAAAGCCCGGGGCUCAACCCCGGAAGUGCAUCGGAUACUGGCAGUCUUGAGUAUGGGAGAGGAAAGUGGAAUUCCGAGUGUAGGAGUGAAAUCCGUAGAUAUUCGGAGGAACACCAGUGGCGAAGGCGGCUUUCUGGACCAAUACUGACGCUGAGAUGCGAAAGCGUGGGGAGCAAACAGGAUUAGAUACCCUGGUAGUCCACGCCGUAAACGAUGGAUACUAGGUGUUGCGGGUAACCACUCCUGCAGUGCCGUAGCUAACGCAUUAAGUAUCCCGCCUGGGGAGUACGGCCGCAAGGCUAAA